AACGAACGCUGGCGGCAUGCCUAACACAUGCAAGUCGAACGAGACCUUCGGGUCUAGUGGCGCACGGGUGCGUAACGCGUGGGAACCUGCCCUUAGGUUCGGAAUAACUCCCCGAAAGGGGUGCUAAUACCGGAUAAUGUCUUCGGACCAAAGAUUUAUCGCCUUUGGAUGGGCCCGCGUUGGAUUAGCUAGUUGGUAGGGUAAAAGCCUACCAAGGCGACGAUCCAUAGCUGGUCUGAGAGGAUGAUCAGCCACACUGGGACUGAGACACGGCCCAGACCUCCGCGGGAGGGGGGAGGUGGGGAUAAUGGAAAAAGGGGGAAAAGCUGGACCCACCACGGCCGGGGGAGAGUGGAGGGCUUGGGGGUAAAAAAUCUUUUUCCCCGGGGAUAAUAAUGACAGGCCGGGAAAAAAAACCCCCGGCAACCCCCGGC
rnacentral:rRNA from 1 species